CAACGACGAAGAACCUUACCAGGCCUUGACAUGCAGAGAACUUUACCAGAGAUGGAUUGGUGCCUUCGGGAACUCUGACACAGGUGCUGCAUGGCUGUCGUCAGCUCGUGUCGUGAGAUGUUGGGUUAAGUCCGUAACGAGCGCAACCCUUGUCCUUAGUUACCAGCACGUUAUGGUGGGCACUCUAAGGAGACUGCCGGUGACAAACCGGAGGAAGGUGGGGAGUGACGUCAAGUCAUCAUGGCCCUUACGGCCUGGGCUACACACGUGCUACAAUGGUCGGUACAAAGGGUUGCCAAGCCGCGAGGUGGAGCUAACCCCAUAAAACCGAUCGUAGUCCGGAUCGCAGUCUGCAACUCGACUGCGUGAAGUCGGAAUCGCUAGUAAUCGUGAAUCAGAAUGUCACGGUGAAUACGUUCCCGGGCCUU
rnacentral:rRNA from 1 species